UUGAAUUCAUGAUAGUUGACAACUACACCUAAUGUAAAUCAAAACUAGAGGUUGAACUGUCUGUGCCCAGUGGGUUACCUUUCCCACAUAGGUUUCUGUGUCUUGUCUCUCAGGACAAGCACUGUCUGUUGGAGCUAGGCCUGAGUAGUGUGGAGGGCCUUCUGAGGCAGGGGGUCUACCCUAUCGUCAUUAAUAUCCGACCCAAGAACAAAAAACACAAGAAGCUAAAGAAGUUGCUGACCGGGCGAGGGGAGGAUGGCAUGAUGGAGGAGGUGUGUCAGGCGGACGAGCAGCAGCUGGAGACCCUGCCCCUGCUCUACCACACUUUGGAACCCAGCACCUGGAGCUGCACCGAGGAUCUGCUUCUCGCCAUACGCAAUGUCAUCCACAGCCAGCAGAAGGCACUGCUGUGGGUUGAGUUGGAAAGGCUCCAAUAGAUCCCAAUGUUUUCACCCAGUUUUAUUGUUUUACUAAUUUGAUACAAUUAUUAUAUACAUUUCACACACACCCAUUUAGAUACCUAGUUCUACCACAGUAAAUAUGAAGUUUCAUGUUCAUUUGAUGAAUUAAACCUUACAAGCUCAGUA